UACACAGUUAAUGGAUCUGUAAUCAAACAGCCAAUGUGUUUACUGGCACUGUGUAAAACACGUCGUCCUCUAAUGACAGGAGACUGGAUUUGAUUUUAGGUUUACUGUGGAUACUAACAUACAGUGAAGUUCUGGAUUGUUUCCUGUUACCUGACUACAAUUUAUUUUCCUUUACAUCAUCAAAGGUUGCUGUGGCUGAGCCAGAAGCUGCAGAGGAAGCUGUAGAAGAAGAAGUUCCUGUUGAAGAGGCUGCAGAAGAAGAAGCUCCUGUUGAAGAGGCUGCAGAAGAAGAAGCAGUUCCUGUAGAGGAAGAAGCUCCUGUAGAGGAGGAAGCUGAAGAGGAAGAAGCUCCAGCAGAGGAGGAAGCUGUAGAGGAAGAAGCUCCAGCAGAGGAGGAAGCUGUAGAGGAAGAAGCUCCAGCAGAGGAGGAAGCUGCAGAGGAGGAAGCUGUAGAGGAAGAAGCUCCAGCAGAGGAGGAAGCUGUAGAGGAAGAAGCUCCCGCAGAGGUGGAAGCUGUAGAGGAAGAAGCUCCCGCAGAGGAGGAAGCUGUAGAGGAAGAAGCUCCCGUAGAGGAAGAAGCUCCCGCGGAGGAGGAAGCUGUAGAGGAAGAAGCUCCCGCAGAGGAGGAAGCUGUAGAGGAGGAAGCUCCCGCAGAGGAGGAAGCUCCAGUAGAGGAAGAAGCCCCCGCAGAGGUGGAAGCUGUUGAGGAAGAAGCUCUUGCAGAGGAGGAAGCUCCUGCAGAAGAGGAAACUGUAGAGGAGGAAGCUCCAACAGAAGAGGAAGCUGUAGAGGAAGAAACUCUUGCAGAGGAAGAAGUUCUUGCUGAGGAGGAAGUAACACCUGAGGAAGAAGCUCCUGUCGAGGAAGUCUCAGAAGAAGCAGUCACAGAAACAGAAGCACAGGAGGAAGAGGAGGCAGCAGAGGAAGAAGCAGAGUAUGAGGAGACAGAGGAGGAGAUUCAGGACGAGCCCACAGAAACGUAGACUUUGGCGGCGUCUUUGCUGACUGAGCAGGAAAUUACCGACGAGGUGUCGGCGCCGUCUGAGCGUGGCUGGAAGAAAAACAUCACCUCGCCACAACGGCUGCUGCCUCGUUUUUGUGUGUUUGUGCGUCUGUGUGUGUGUGUGUGUGUGUGUGCCUCCAUGUGUGUGUGUGUGAGAGGUUGAAAACAGUUUUUUUCCCUGUUCAAAUCCCUAUUAUGACUGUGUGUGUUUGUGCAUCUGUCUGUCUGUGUGUCCGGAUCAUGUGAAGUCUGUCUGUCUGUGAUCAUCACGCCAAUCUUAAUGUAAAACUGUGUCGUAGCUAAAGGAGGAGUGUGUGAGACGCACUGCAGAGUGUGUCCAUCCCCUCCCUCCCUCUGUUGAACCCCAUCUGAUCCAAUCUGCCACUCCUCUGCUUUUAAACAAACAGUUAAAGGCAGUUCAACAGUGUCACGAAGGGCUGCUGUCCCGCAUGUGUUAGACGCCCGCUUCUGUCUUCAGAUCCAGGUGUGACAGAGUGGGACGGUGGUCGCCCAGUUUCAGGAUUUAAUCUCAUUCUGUCCGUUCGUGUCACUGUAAACACACUUUUCAGUUUAAAAAAUGUGUUCUCAUCUCUGGUCCUAAAGGGCUGCUGUUCUGCCUGAUGUCUGUAAACAAGUCGGAGGCUCUUCAGGAUCUGAAUUUCAGCUUCCUGACUUCAAACUGUGACGUAAACGAGUACUUUCACCUCAUGUUUGUUCAUCCUGUGUGGAUCUAAGGCUGUGUUUUCACUCUGGACCAACACAACAUUUCAACAACUCAGUGAAUUAGUUUGUUUUUGGAUCUUAAACUUUCAUUUUUCUAAAGUUUCUUUCAUCCCAAAUCUUCAGUGAGAACACAGCCUCACACAUGACUCCAUAAAUGUCACCUAUAACAUUUAAUUAACAUAGAUUUUAGGCCUAAAAAACAUUUUUACCUCAUUUUUGUUUUCUUUUAUUCGCCCAAGGCUGCGUUCACACUUCAGACCAACAAAACAUUUCAACAUCCCUGUAUUUAAGCCACUGAUAGGACCUUAGUUGAUGUUUUUAACCCCUAGAUCUGAACAGUUUUGUCUCCGUGAAGCUUCUGAGUAUGAACGCAGCCUUAAACAUGGCCCCCACACCUCUCACACUGACCAUUUAAAGAAAUACCAGCUCUGUUAUUUUUAUUUUUUUUUUUUUUUAGAAAGUGUUGAAUUAUCCUUCGGUGUUGUGACACGCCGACUCCUCAGAGGAGGUCGCGACCUUUUCAUAGCGACACUAACCAGUCUUUUUUACUGCUGGACUUUUUCUGUAGCGGUGAAGUUUUUCAGCUUCGGUGUUUUUAAAGGACAUAUUUUUUAGAAAGCACGUCAGGAAGAAAACAGAAAGCCAUGAGCUCGUUGCGUAGCUGAGCCUGUCGAUGUGACGCAGAAACACUAAACCUUCGGUUAGCGCAGCAAUAAGUAGGGACGCCUGCCAGGCUCCCGUGUGUUCUCUGUCCUGUGGACUCCGAUUGUUGUGACACUUUCCCAUUUGUUCAUGGAGCUGCAAUAAAAGGUUUGGGACAACACA
rnacentral:lncRNA from 1 species